rnacentral:pre_miRNA from 1 species
ACAAUGGGCCUGAUCCAAAACCUACUGAAGUCAAGGGAAAGAUUUCCAUUGACUUCAAUAGGUUUUGGAUCAGGCCCUAGCUGA